AGCAGCCGCGGUAAUUCCAGCUCCAAUAGCGUAUAUUAAAGUUGUUGCAGUUAAAAGCUUGUAGUUGAAUUUCGGGAUCAAUUAAUCGGUCGUACCUAUGGUACGUACUGAUUUUAUUGGUUUCUCCCUUCUGACGAACCAUGAUGUCAUUAAUUUGGUGUCGUGGAGAAUCAGGACUGUUACUUUGAAAAAUUGAGUGUUCAAAGCUGAAUACAUUAGCAUGGAAUAAUGAAAUAGGGCGUUUGAUCCUAUUUUGUUGGUUUCUAAGNUCGACGUAAUGAUUAAUAGGGAUAGGUUGGGGGCA
rnacentral:misc_RNA from 1 species